rnacentral:rRNA from 1 species
GACAGAGGGUGCAAACGUUGUUCGGAAUUACUGGGCGUAAAGCGCGUGUAGGCUGCUUCGCAAGUCGGAUGUGAAAGCCCUGGGCUCAACCCAGGAAGUGCAUUCGAAACUGCAAAACUGGAGCCUAAAGAGGAAGGCGGAAUUCUCGGUGUAGAAAUGAAAUUCGUAGAUAUCGAGAGGAACACCGGUGGCGAAGGCGGCCU